rnacentral:lncRNA from 1 species
GUCACAGCAGUGAGGGAGGCACUGAUCCUGCAAAGGCAGCUAGCCAAGGCAGAAGCACUCAGCACGAGGGCAGCCCAGCUGAGCCACGACCCAGACCCUCAGCAUCCCCCCAUCAGCAGCUGGCAGCUCCUCCAGCCCAGCGUGCCAGGCUGCCUGCACCCUCCCCAAAUCACAGAAACCCUGCAGGCAGCCACCAUUCCGCCUCCCAGAGAGGAAAACAAAUGCAUCCAAUCCUCCAGUGGUCGUAUCCUGCCCAUCCACGGGCGAACACCCCAUGACAGAGCAUCCCUCCAGCCCCAAAGUCCCCUUUGGGCUGAACGUGAGGCGAGAGGGUUUUGGGCCAACACCCGGGAUGCGAGAAGACCCGUGGCUACGGAGCUGGGCAGCGGAAAUGCCCCUAAUUUCUCUAAGCUGCUGCAUCCUGUCCUGCACAGCCAGCAGCUCUCCCACCACGCUGGGACAGGGAUUAGCCAGCAGAGCCUCCUUACGAGCAAUCACAACCUCUGUCAGGGAGGGCAGGGGGGAAUCAGCCCCCUGCACAGACAUCCCAUGCCUCUCCUCUACACUCAGGGAAUGCAGAGAGGCCUCUGUCUGCAGAGAUGCCCGCUUGGGAUGAGGACUUCUGCAGCAUCACGCUGCUCUUCCUACCCUGAAACAGGAUUUGGGGCACACAGAGAUGCUUCUCCCUCUGCAGCACCUUCAGGCACCUGCCAGGACCAGCAAUCCCAGGGUUGUGGGGACCCCAGCUGCACAGUAUGUCAGAACUCACUCCCCAUUUUCCAGCCCCUCAAUAGCAAUUUCAGGACAGCUUGUGAAGCCUCAAGUCCCAGGAAAUUCCCUGCAGCCCUACAAGCAGCACCAAGCCUGCUGGCGGCAGCAACAUUCCCAGUUACUCAGAGAAACACAACAGCUCUGAGGAUGCCUGGGCCAGCAAAUUCACACGGGUCCCAAAAUCUGGCGCACACAUUCGGGCUUCAUACAAAGGGGAUGCAAAGCAGCCUCCUUGCAGCAUCCCUGUCACGUCCUGCUCGACUGGAGCUGCUUUUCAUGCAGCUGCCUUGA